AUCAUAUAUAUCAACAGCCACGUGAUAUUACACCACUGCAAGACAACGUACAAAAGGCACGAUAUGGCGAAUGACUGACCACAACCAGGGAACAUGUUAACAUCACAAGAGUCACAAACUUCUGCCAAAAUCGUUCGAUGGAUAUUAGCAACAUUAUCAUUCUUUUGUCUGAUCAAUUCUGACGAUGGAUUAAAAUGUUCUGUGUGCACAACGUCAAACCCAUCCUGUAUCGAAGACCCCCCACCAGCAAGACACUGUCCGCUACAAAACGGAGAAUGUUACGUUUUAUGUGUAAAAAAUGCUCAAGGAAUAGUAUUAGAAACAAGUCGGGGAUGCACAGCGCAGCUUGACAGCCAGUGCAUGAUAGCAAUACGGUGGGAUGGCGGAGCUAUGGAGCCAAUACAAACUUGCACGCAUCGUUGUACAUGGGAUGGAUGCAACGCUGUACCAUGUGAAAUGAUAAGAUGAGCGGUACCUGGAGCAGUAAUAUUACGUUACGGGGUCUUUUUAGCAAAUGUGUGUAAAAGUCAAAGUUUUUCUCGACAGAGAGCUUUUCAAGGUUCAGGAUAUUGUGUUCAUAACUGCAUGAUUUAGUAAGAUCAGCUAAUAUAUCGUGCAAUUGUACCCGGGACACUCUUGUCUAGGACAUUAUGUAUUGUUACAAUGGGAUGGAAAGACAAGAAGCAGGGUCGAUCAAGGCGGCGGUGUGAUCUCAAAGUGUCAGGAUUCUGGAUUGGGAUUUCAUGCACGCGACAUUUUGUGCCAUUCAAUACGAUGCCCAAUUCAAUAACAUCAAUACACUGUACGGAAUGACAAGUUGAAAGGGUUGACGUGAUCGAUGAAAGUAAAGGAAAUAGUGGGUGAACAAGCCCCAUUUUAACCCCCCCCCCCCCCUAGAGAGUGAAAACGGUGGUACACCUCCGGAGAUUCAAUUUCAUUUUUCAAAUCGUUAAAAAACAUAUCUUCUCUUAGUGUUUCUUCGUUGUAACUUUCUUGUGAGGUGUAAAAAGAAUAUGGCACAGAACCUUUCUUUCUCAGUAAUUUGAAAUCUUCGUUGUCUGGAUAAAACUUCCUGGUUAUUUUAAAGUCACCAUCUACCAUUGAUUUUGUGAUGUUGUCCAAACCGGAUUGCAGAAAUCUGAAGGAAUUUAAAACCGAAAACAACCAAACUGAAAAGAAAUAUCUUCUUCUGCUGACUUGGGAAGUAGUUUCAGUCUGUUACCUUUUGUCUUCUUAAUUAACGUUUUUUUUAACCAGUGUUUUAAUGAAAAGAUGAAAGUCAUAAUGACUAAGAUUGUUCAAGAAAAUUAGUACAAAGUUGGCAUGUUUCGCAAUGAGGUUACAGAAGUUGUGGGCUGCACCUCUAAACUUACCACUGCAAUGAUCAUGA